rnacentral:lncRNA from 1 species
GGGAUAACGGGGACAGAUGGGGACAGAUGGGUCCCUAUAGGGGCAGUGGGGGACAUGGGGACAAUGGGAUUGGAGACAUUUGGGACCUCAUGGGGACAAUGGGGACAGACGGGUCCUUAUAGGGGCAGUGGGGUACAAUGGGGACAGAUGCGUCCCUAUAAGGGCAAUGGGGGACAUGGGGACAGUGGGGUUGGGGCCAUUUGGGACCUCAUGGGGACAGACGGGUCCUUGUAGGGGCAAUGGGAUACAAUGGGACCAGCGGCGUUGGGGACAAUGGGGACAUUUGGGACCCCGCCAUGACACGGUGUCCCCCCUGUCCCCCCCCCCAGGACGGGCAGCUGAGCCGGGAGGAGAUCCUGGGCAACUGGCAGAUGUUCGUGGGCAGCCAGGCCACCAACUAUGGCGAGGAUCUGGAGCGGCCCCACGA